rnacentral:rRNA from 1 species
UACGGAGGGUGCGAGCGUUGUCCGGAAUCAUUGGGCGUAAAGGGCGCGUAGGUGGCGCGGUAAGCGUGCGGUGAAAGCCUGGGCUCAACCCGGGUCGGCCGUGCGAACUGCUGGGCUUGAGCACUGUAGAGGCAGGCGGAAUUCCGGGUGUAGCGGUGGAAUGCGUAGAGAUCCGGAAGAACACCGGUGGCGAAGGCGGCCGCUGGGCAGUGCUGACGACUGAGGCGCGGACAGCGUGGGGA